GCCGGGGUGGCGGAAUCGGCAGACGCAAGGGACUUAAAAUCCCUCGGGGUUAUCCUCGUACGGGUUCAACUCCCGUCCCCGGCACCA
rnacentral:tRNA from 1 species